UACUAGGGCAAGUGGCAAAUUAAAUUGCUAUCCAAUUUUUUAUUUGAAACUAUAACACGAUUAUUUAUUAAAUGAAUUAAGUCUAUUUUGAUGGUAAUAUUAGCUUUUAAGUAACACAUAAGGACCUAAAAAUAGUUUAAUACAAGGCUUCAGGGUCAUGAUCCUCCAAUAUUACUGUAAUCAGGAAUAGUUCUAAUGAAUAUAAUUAUGUUGUAUUCAUGAUAUGAUAAAGGAUGUAUAAUUGAAAGCAAAUUAGAGUAGUCAAGUGUUCGGAAUCUUACUCAUACUGAGUGAAGGCAUAUCUGGAUAUUGUGGAUAUUUCUGAACCAGUUACUAUUGUACUCAUCCACAAUUUCUUCUGUAGUGUCUUUCUGGUUUUGUGCGCAUGUGUGCACAUUUAUUUCAUAUGUCAAAGAUCCUCUAAAGACUUGCUGGCUUUGGUUGCUAAUUCUCUACUGCAUGAUUAAGAUGGCAUAUGAUGGUGCUUUGCAAAAGAGAUAGAAAUAAGUUAGCCUGUAGAAAUUUGUAGGAGAUGGCAGGAUGAUUUAACUCCAAACUCGAUCCUUCUGUUUUAUUUCUAUUCUUUUGAAACUAGUUUCUUGUGAUGUAUUUUAAAACACAUGUUGCAAUGCAGUUUUUCUCUAGUGUGCACUAUCAGAGAAUCAUCUCUGAUUUAGAGCUGUCCUUUCAAACUUGCAGAGCACAUUUCUUGUUUUGGAGAAUCUUUUAAAAUGUUGGUGUCUAGUAUGACCCAACGCACUGAAAUAUCUUGUAUAUAAUGCUAUUUUCCAGUGAACUGCGAUUCUCUGGUUCUGUCAAGGGUCACGCUCAUAUUAGUGAAGACUAAAGAGAGCAUCAUUAUGUGUCUAGCAAUGAUAGUCUUCAAUAGACUUGUCAAGUCUUAAGCAGUAUGUGUAAAAGGUGUGGCACCUUGUUACAUCUGAUACCUCCAACUCAAGUACUGCUAGGUAGCCACUGCCUUUCUCCAUGCAGGCCAGACCUGGCUCCUCGCAUCACUCAUACUGAGCUGGCUCCUUGGCUGCAGUCAUCUGCCAAACUGUUAUGACACUGAGAACCUCACAGCAGAUUAAAAGUUUCACAGAGGUAUUCAGACAUCAGUCACACCACAUCUCCUGCCCCCAGGGCAAUACAGCUGUAGUUCCCAAGAACUCUAUGGGAUCUGACUUUGUAGAGAAAUAAAUAUUGAUUAGUUAGAACAACUGAAAAAGUAAUAACAUAUAAUUUAUAAUUCUGUCCCUCCACUGUGACCAGAACUAACCAUGUUCUGUUGAGAGUAAAGCCUGAAUGGAAUUAGCACUCAUGACACUAUGCAGAGAAUAGUUUCAGAUUAAUUUAUAUGAUAUGAUGAUGAAAAUAAAGAAGAGACCAGCCAAAGUCUUUAUAAAUCUUGUGUUGAAAUAAAUACCUUUCCAUUUUAAUAGUUGUUGACAUGGUUAAUGUCAGCUUCUUUAUAUAUUAAGGGUAUGCAAGUCUCUGUUGUAUGAUUACUCAUUAAGCACAUUUGGUGAGGGCCAAUUAUGUGGAGUUCCUGAUAUCAGUGGAGCAGUGGCAGCUGUAGGGCUUAGCUUUAGGUUUGUUUGUUGUUUUUAAUUUGAAUAUGUAGGAGUCCAAAAUAAGAAUGAUCAUUUUUACUUUUCUUAUUCACUCCAUUUUAUAGGGACUUAAGUGAAAUUAGGUGAAUCAGGCCCUUUGCGUAGUAUGUAUCAUCUUACAUGAUUUCCAAUGAAGGAUAUUUUCAAAUAGGAGCUUGAGAUAAAUAAAUACAUAAAUAAGAUUAACUGAAUUUCUCUUGAGAUAUGGUAGAAUUCCAGUUGCCCACCUGAAUAAACAUAUAAUUUUAUCAUCUUUACAGUGUUUCUGUGCUGCUAGAGCACAAAAGUACAGAUCCAUCUCAUGGGUAUAUAAUAAAGGGAAAAUAAGCUACCAUACCCCUUUCAAAAGAACUAAUCAAGUACUAAAAAGCAAAUUAAUGUAAAUAAAAUAUUGAUUAAGAACUAAAAGGAUUUUAAUUAUAUUACUUUCAGAAAUAAUUUAAUUUAACCUGAACAGACAACUAAGAGCAGAUAUUUUGCCUUAGUGUCUUUCAGAUUGCUAAUUAAAAUUUCUAGGAGGAAAUUCAAGUUUAAUGACUGGAUUUUAAAGAUAAAUAAUGCUUGCUUCUUUUCAUAAUAAUUUUAUGAAGGUUUACAUAGUGCCAAACUAUAAUUCUGCAUGCAUGUUUUCUUACAAACAGAUAACCUGGAUGCUCCAUGCAAACACUGUGGGUAUCGAGCACUCUUAAAUUAAGAAAACUUAAAAAUUAAGUGUGUUAAGGUUUAAUAUCUGUCAUAUGUUUGUAGAUUUAUAUCCACAUUGUUUAUGGAAUUCUUCGGAGAUAAUUGCUUUCUUGUAAGAUGAAGGCAAUUAUAGUGAUAGAGCACUCUUUGUGCUUCCAUUGCCACUGAGUAGCAAUUUUACUAUUUAUCUGAAAAGAGAUGAAUCUGAUUCUUUAUUCUCUGCCAUAAUGACUUGAUCCAAAAUCCAGUGAAGUAAAUAAAAAUUGCUCAUCACUUGAUAAUUUUGUAUAGCAAUUGGCUUUCAAUGUCACUUCCUACUUUACACUGUAUUAUUUAUAAGACUGCUGAUCACUUACAUAAACACAAUGAGAUGGAAUGGGAAUGCAAUAAUAAAAAGGCACAACAUUUGGAAGAUUUCUACAAAGAAUCUUCUACAACUACAAAUUCUUCACAGAGUAUUUAGGCAAACUUUUUGGAAUUUAAUUAAACUCCUUUUAUCUUCUUUAGAUGCAGAGUACUAAAUUAAAGGGAAAAGGAGCUACCUGUCCAAACUCUUUAGGCAAAAAAAAAAAAAAAAAAGGUAGAAUGAACAGUCCUUAACAUUAGAUUAGGGAGCAGUACCAGAAAAUUCCCUUUAUGCCAGGACAGAGGGGUAGAACACGCCAUGGGGACAUGACAAGAUUAUCUAAUCAUCCUAAUCAUCAUAAAUAUGAUUUUACUUGAACACAGGGAAGCUUAGGAGUUUGUCCUCUCCAUAGGCUUUGUCAGAGAUGUGUGAUCGAGCUUGAUGGACUUGAACUUAUAAGGUUGCUUCGUUGUUCCUUUGCCUUAGUCAUGAACAAAUGAAAACUAAUCUUGGCCAGUCAGCAUUUUGUGAACCAUACAAUCCUCUGUACGUGGUACUUCUGCAAGAGUAAGCUUUAAAAAUGAAACUCUUGUUCUCUGUAGGCACUAGAGAUGCAAAUUUGGUGGGACAGAAUCUGAAGGCUGCCUGUCUCCUUAACUGCCCUUUCUACAAUGUAAUAUUUCCUUGGUGCUUUGAAGUGGUUGUAUUUAAGCUCAGUUGUGUACAUACAAAAUGAUCUCUGAGGAUGAAAGGUAAUAUGAAACUAAAGAAAGACUUUGCAACAUAAUGCAUGAAAGAGGAAGAGAAGUAGAGGAGAUGCACUGUUCUUCACCGUUAAUCAUUCCAGCUGGCCACACCUAAGUUAAAAAUGCAUUUGCAUGUAUUUACACAAUACACAAGCAUGCAAUGAUACAAACAGUACACUCCAUGUUUGUUAUGUACAUUGAGUGCAUGUAUGGGUACAACAGAGGUAAAUGAGAAUGACGCUGAAACAUGAGGUGUAACCUAAAGGGAAUGUUUUAACGGCUUGAUGUUCAGUGAUGUAUGGAUGUAUGGAGCUGACAUUUGCAAAUUUAAGUUAUAUAUUCUGUUUUCAUUUCUUGACCCUGUCAGUACAGCAAUCCUUCCACCAGACAGGAAAAAGGAAGAAGAGACAUAAUUCUGAGAGAGCCCGAUGAAUAUAUAUGUUUGCAAUUUCCCUUGAAAUCUGCACAGAAAAUAGGAGUCAACCCUAAAUUCAAAUAAAUCACUGCAAAGACUCUCUGGCUGACAGGAUACAUACGUGACUUUUUAUGGAUCACUCGGAAGAAAGCAACCAUCUUACCAUCCAUGAAGACUGAAGUUAAGACGUGUGAGAUUUUGAAACGUGACAGUGAAGGAAGGACUGUAGUGCUUCUCCAACAUUCUAUUACACAGUGAAGAGAAAAGGAUGCAUAUUAAGGCUGUCAGUUUAGACCAAGGCCAGCUGGUACUGUUUUAUUACUCCAGAAAGACAUCAGGUCAAGAUACUUUGAUCAGAGGAAGAUUUGAUGAACCUUUUCCAUUCUCUGCUACGUCACUGAUACUUCAACAGGUAUUGUUGUUACUUCCUUAAAAAGUACUAUAGGCAGAACAGGAUAGUGAUGAUGCUGGAUAUGGCCUGUAAAAUGCCAGUCCAGUGGCCAUUUAUAUGAAAGCUUAGUUGAUGUACAUUUGUGCUUACAUAAAGGUUUACCAUUAUGGGAAAGAUGUUUCGUGAACAUUUUGAAACAAGCUUCAAAAUAUUCCCAGUUUUAAAAAGCAGAAAUGUAAAGCCUAAUCGCAUAAUUUGUACUGGAAAAGACAUGAGGUAAAUAAUAUCUUCUCCAGCUGCAAAUAGAGAUGAUCUUAAUGUUGGUUAAAUAAACAUUACCAAUGAAGUCAAGACUAUAAGUAUUUUGAUGGAUUAAGAGUAGAAACUCAAAAUCACUUUGGAAUGUUUCCCAUUAACACAGAUAGCAAUGAGGCAAUAACUGGAACAACUUAGCAAUUUCUUCCUAUAAGCAUUUGAAAGAGAAUCAGUCUUCAAUUUUACAUCAGCCUGUCUGAAUCUCUUUCACUGCAUCACAUUUUAAGCCCAGGCUACUGGGACUCUGGGAACUACUGAUAUGUAGCAGGGGAGUUGAAAAGGAUGAAUAAAAAAAGCCCAGUGUUCUGUGUGAGCUUUCAGAUGUAAACAAUUCCAGCAUCAGAGCAAUAAUACAACUUA